UGGAGCUGAGACCAGUCGAAGAUACCAGCUGGCUGCAACUGUUUAUUAAAAACACAGCACUGUGCAAACACGAAAGUGGACGUAUACGGUGUGACGCCUGCCCGGUGCCGGAAGGUUAAUUGAUGGGGUCAGCCGUAAGGCGAAGCUCCUGAUCGAAGCCCCGGUAAACGGCGGCCGUAACUAUAACGGUCCUAAGGUAGCGAAAUUCCUUGUCGGGUAAGUUCCGACCUGCACGAAUGGCGUAAUGAUGGCCAGGCUGUCUCCACCCGAGACUCAGUGAAAUUGAACUCGCUGUGAAGAUGCAGUGUACCCGCGGCAAGACGGAAAGACCCCGUGAACCUUUACUAUAGCUUGACACUGAACAUUGAGCCUUGAUGUGUAGGAUAGGUGGGAGGCUUUGAAGCGUGGACGCCAGUCUGCGUGGAGCCGGCCUUGAAAUACCACCCUUUAAUGUUUGAUGUUCUAACGUGGACCCGUAAUCCGGGUUGCGGACAGUGUCUGGUGGGUAGUUUGACUGGGGCGGUCUCCUCCUAAAGAGUAACGGAGGAGCACGAAGGUUGGCUAAUCCUGGUCGGACAUCAGGAGGUUAGUGCAAUGGCAUAAGCCAGCUUGACUGCGAGCGUGACGGCGCGAGCAGGUGCGAAAGCAGGUCAUAGUGAUCCGGUGGUUCUGAAUGGAAGGGCCAUCGCUCAACGGAUAAAAGGUACUCCGGGGAUAACAGGCUGAUACCGCCCAAGAGUUCAUAUCGACGGCGGUGUUUGGCACCUCGAUGUCGGCUCAUCACAUCCUGGGGCUGAAGUAGGUCCCAAGGGUAUGGCUGUUCGCCAUUUAAAGUGGUACGCGAGCUGGGUUUAGAACGUCGUGAGACAGUUCGGUCCCUAUCUGCCGUGGGCGCUGGAGAAUUGAGGGGGGCUGCUCCUAGUACGAGAGGACCGGAGUGGACGCAUCACUGGUGUUCGGGUUGUCAUGCCAAUGGCACUGCCCGGUAGCUAAAUGCGGAAGAGAUAAGUGCUGAAAGCAUCUAAGCACGAAACUUGCCCCGAGAUGAGUUCUCCCUGAGACUUUAGGUCUCCUGAAGGAACGUUGAAGACGACGACGUUGAUAGGCCGGGUGUGUAAGCGCAGCGAUGCGUUGAGCUAACCGGUACUAAUGAACCGUGAGGCUUAACCUUACAACGCCGAAG
rnacentral:rRNA from 1 species